AGGGAUGUAGCUCAACAGUGCAGCACCUGCCUGGCAAGCUUGAGGUCCUGAGUUCAAUUCCCAGUACCCUA
rnacentral:tRNA from 1 species